UGGGGAAUUGUUCGCAAUGGGCGCAAGCCUGACGACGCAACGCCGCGUGGAGGACGAAAACCUUCGGGUCGUAAACUCCUGUCGAGCGGGACGAACACCAACCGGGUUAAUACCCCGGAUGGCUGACGGUACCGCUAAAGGAAGCCCCGGCUAACUCCGUGCCAGCAGCCGCGGUAAUACGGGGGGGGCAAGCGUUGUUCGGAUUUACUGGGCGUAAAGAGCUCGUAGGCGGCUUGUUUAGUCGGGCGUGAAAUCCCUCGGCUCAACUGAGGAACUGCGUCCGAUACUGGCAAGCUUGAAUCCGGGAGAGGGAUGCGGAAUUCCAGGUGUAGCGGUGAAAUGCGUAGAUAUCUGGAGGAACACCGGUGGCGAAGGCGGCAUCCUGGACCGGUAUUGACGCUGAGGAGCGAAAGCUAGGGUAGCAAACGGG
rnacentral:rRNA from 1 species